rnacentral:rRNA from 1 species
GAUGAACGCUGGCGGCGUGCCUAAUACAUGCAAGUCGAGCGAACGGACGAGAAGCUUGCUUCUCUGAUGUUAGCGGCGGACGGGUGAGUAACACGUGGAUAACCUACCUAUAAGACUGGGAUAACUUCGGGAAACCGGAGCUAAUACCGGAUAAUAUUUUGAACCGCAUGGUUCAAAAGUGAAAGACGGUCUUGCUGUCACUUAUAGAUGGAUCCGCGCUGCAUUAGCUAGUUGGUAAGGUAACGGCUUACCAAGGCAACGAUGCAUAGCCGACCUGAGAGGAGGAGGGGCCACAAGGGAAGGAAAACACGGUAAAGACGCAUGCGGGAGGCAGCAGUGGGGAAUGGGGGAAAAGGGGCGAAAGAAUGAAAAAGCAAGGUCGAGGGGGAGAAGAAGGGUUUGGGUGAUUAAAGAUAUGUUAUCGGGAAAGAAAAGAUGUGACAGAAAAAUCGAAGAUCUGGAAGGUACCAAAAAAAAAAGCAACGGAAACGUCUGUG